rnacentral:lncRNA from 1 species
GCAGGAUUUCAUUGUGCUACUGGGAAGAUUUUUCCUGAGGAUUUGGCCCAGCUGAGCCCCUGUCCUGCGUAUUUACUCAAAAAAGAAAUAUCUUCUUGGGCACUUCUAUUCUUCAACCAUUAAAGCCUGAGAUUUGUCAAAGAAAAGACUCCAGUCAAGAGAUGGAAUCUGAGCAUCUUCUGGCAAGGAGGUUUAUGAACCAGGUAUUUGACAGUCUGUUCCAGACAUCCAACAGAGGAAGAAUACCUCAAUUGCAGGGAUGACAAGAGUCAAAGGCAAGCUGGAAGCUGCAGGAAUGUGAUAAAUUGGUAGUGCAGAAGAUUGGUAGAGGUAGAACAAUCUUGGGAUUCCUGACAGAAGCUAGAGCCAGAGUUGAGGAACAAUAAAUUAUAUAGGCAGGGGU